rnacentral:lncRNA from 1 species
UCUUGAUUAUGUGCAGGAGCUGGAGUGCGAAUUGAACCUGCACUGCGUGGAGCAGGAGCAAGCGCUGGCGGGUGACCAACUGCUGAGCUGUCAACUCCAGCAGCUUCUGGUCUCCAUGGAUGUAUUGCUUGAGUCAUUCUGUGAUCACUUGGAUGCACCACGCGAAUUUUCCAGGGACAAGGUGCUGGCCCGGACGGCAAGGGGUCCAGGCAGAAGUCGGCCGUACAAGUUCCUCCCAAAACCAGGCAUUUUCACACAAAGGACAUGAGCAGAUGUCUGUUCCUCAUAAAAAUCUGAACUAAUAAAGAAGCAUCAAGACCAUUGAA